rnacentral:ncRNA from 1 species
AACUAUAUGAUUGUCUGAUUCAAAAUGGCCAAUACCAGUCUAUUUCAGCUCAUUAAUGCCUAGGAUAUCAAUGUUUAUGUGUUCCAUUUCAUUUCUGACGAUUUCCAAUUUUCAAUGAGUCCACCCUUAAAUCCUUUUAUGAGGAUCCAUUGGAGGGCAAGACUGGUGCCAGCAGCCGUGGUAAUUCCAGCUCCAAUAGCGUAUAUU